rnacentral:rRNA from 1 species
GAUUCCCCUAGUAACUGCGAGUGAAGCGGGAAAAGCUCAAAUUUAAAAUCUGGCAGUCUUUGGCUGUCCGAGUUGUAAACUAGAGAAGUGUUACCCGCGUCGGACCGUGUACAAGUCUCCUGGAAUGGAGCAUCAUAGAGGGUGAGAAUCCCGUCUUUGACAUGGACUACCGAGGCUUUUGUGGUGCGCUCUCAACGAGUCGAGUUGUUUGGGAAUGCAGCUCAAAAUGGGUGGUAAAUUCCAUCUAAAGCUAAAUAUUGGCGAGAGACCGAUAGCGAACAAGUACCGUGAGGGAAAGAUGAAAAGAACUUUGGAAAGAGAGUUAAACAGUACGUGAAAUUGCUGAAAGGGAAACGCUUGAAGUCAGUCGCGUUGGCCGGAAAUCAACCCUGCUUCUGUUGGGUGUACUUUCUGGUUGACGGGCCAGCAUCAGUUUUGACCGGUGGAAAAAGUCCAAGGGAAUGUGGCAUCUCCGGAUGUGUUAUAGCCCUUGGUCGUAUACAUCGGUUGGGACUGAGGAAUUCAGCACGCCGCAAGGCCGGGUUUCGGACCACGUUCGUGCUUAGGAUGCUGGCAUAAUGGCUUUAAUCGACCCGUCUUGAAACACGGACCAAGGAGUCUAACAUACCUGCGAGUGUUUGGGUGGAAAACCCGGACGCGUAAUGAAAGUGAAAGUCAGGAUCCCUGUCAUGGGGAGCACUGGCGCCCGCACCUGAAGUUUACGGACGGAUGUGAGGUAAAGCAUGUAUGCUAGGACCCGAAAGAUGGUGAACUAUGCCUGAAUAGGGUGAAGCCAGAGGAAACUCUGGUGGAGGCUCGUAGC